GGGGAGAGCGCCGGGUCCUGGGCUGUGUCCCCCAGCACCCUGGGCUCCGGGCCUGUGACUCUGGAAUCGCACUCCCCGGCCGCACAGCCCCCU
rnacentral:pre_miRNA from 1 species